UACGUGUGAGGCAAGCGUUAUUCGUCUUUAAUGGGUCUAAAGGGUACGUAGGCAGUAUAUAUAAUCUUACGAUUAAUCACCUGGGAGUGAGUUUGUAUAUUUAUAUACUAGAGUUAUAAAAGGAGUAACAGACACAACAAGAGGAGUGUGACAAUACUAAUAUACUUGAAGGGUCGCAUAGCGGCGAAAGCGUGUUACUAUAGAAGACUGACGCUGAGGUACGAAGGCAUGGGUAUCGAUCGGG
rnacentral:rRNA from 1 species